ACAUGGUGAAACCCCAUCUCUACUAAAAAUAGAAAAAUUAGCCGGGUGUGGUGGUGGGUGCCUGUAGUCCCAGAUACUCGGGAGGCUAAGGCACGAGAAUCACUUGAACCCAGGAGGCAGAGGUUGCAGUGAGCUAAUGCCACUGCACUCCAGCCUGGGCAACAGAGUGAGACUCGGUCUCAAAAGGAAAAGAAAUCACUAUUUUUAAAAGUCUUCUGGGAGUAUCCCAGUGAAUGCCUCCUGGUCAAGAAGCAUUGGUGGAUAUCUUUCUAGAUAUUUGUAUGUUUGUGCAUAAUUUUUUUUAACAAAACUGGAAUUAUUGUAUAUAUGUUAAUAUAUUGAGGUACAUUUCAUACCUUAAUUUAAGCAGCCCACUAAUCAGUUAGGCAGUUCCAAUUUUGUACUAUUACAAAUAUUGAAAAAACAGUAAAAGUGGGCUAAAAAACAAAUUACAAAUAAUUAGGGAAAACCCCUGAAAAGUUCAGGAAAAGGACAAAAAUGCUUAAAAACUUAAAGCAUUGAAAAUUGCUUGAUAAAGCAUGAGAAUGACCAACAUUAUAUAUAUUUAAAAAAACAACAACUGGGAAAUACUCAUUUUCAAUCAAAUCAUUGUUUCAAUCAAAAUGUUGUAUUCACCAGAAUGCUUUCAGAAAAAUUGCUUUCAGUCCAAUCAUAUGCUUCUGUGGGAGGCAGCCAGCAAGAGCUUCCUUCCAGCUCCCACGAAGUCCUUGGAAAAGGUUUGGGAUCCCCACUGCCAGCAGUUCUAACUGGGAAAUAAACAUCAGACCAACCGCUGUGCAUGUACCCAGCAAGGAUCUGCUGAUUAUCUUAUGUGCCAGGCUCUGUGCUGGGCACUGGGAAUAUGAGGCAACCAAGACAGUUUCUGCCAUCCUCCCCAACAGGGGCUCACAGUCCAGUCUGGUAGGGCAGACAGACACAUCCACAGGUAAUUCCAGUACAGGCUGAGAUGAGAUGAGAGCAGGGAGGCAUGGCAAAUGGGGAAAGGCAAGUGAAAGCUUCUGCCCUGUCCCUCCAGCAGCCGUAGGACCAUAGAAACACAGCCUCUUUCUCCUCAACAAAAUGUUCUCCUUACUUUUGCUAUGAAACAAAUUACCCCAAAAACCUAGUGGUUUAAAACAAUCAUUUGAUUAUGCUCAAGGAUUCUGUAGGUCAAGAAUUCAGGGCAUGAGCCACUGAAUCUGGCCUGUUGUGGUCAUACAGUCUACCACACCCGAGGUGGACCCAGGCACACCAUUUACUGCCAGGAGGGCAGGCCUGAGAGGGGCCCAGCUGGGUGCAAUGGAGGUAAGAUGGGAAAGAAGCUGGACUCUUCUAUCCUUAGGCAAUUUCAUGUGACCAUGGCUUCACUUUCUGCUCCUCCAUGAUGACUUUUUUUUUUCUUUUUCUUUAUUUUUUUUAAGACCGAGUCUCACACUGUUGCUCAGGCUGGAGUGCAGUGGCACAAUCUCCGCUCACUGCAACCUCCACCUCCCGGGUUCAAGCAAGUCUUGUGCCUCAGCCUUCUGAGGAGUUGGGAUUACAGGCACACGCCACCACGCCUGGCUAAUUUUUGUAUUUUUAGUAGAGAUAGGGUUCCACCAUGUUGGCCAGGCUGGUCUUGAACUCCUGACUUCAAGUGAUCUGCCCACCUCGGCCUCCCAAAGUGCUGGGAUGACAGGAGGGAGCGCCACCCAGCCUCCCUUAUGACUUUUCCAUCUCACCAGUGUGUCAAAUUGUCUGCCUACUUUACCUUUUGUGCCUCAGUUUCUUCUGAAUAAUGGAGAGGCUAAUACUAUCUACCUCAUAGAGUGACCAUGAGGACUAAAUGAGACAAUAUGGUAGUUCCCCAAUGUCCGCAGAGCGUAUGUCCCAAGGCCCCAGGGGUUGCCCGAAACUGUGGACAGUACAAAAUCUUUUAUAUGCUAUUUUUUUCUACACAUAUAUACCUAUGAUAAGGUUUAAUUUAUAAAUUAGGCACAGUAAGAAAUUA
rnacentral:lncRNA from 10 species